GUCACUGUGGUGCAAUUGGUUAGCGUGUUUGGCUGUUAAUCAAAAGGUUGGUGGUUCGAUCUCUCCCAGUGACG